AUGGAGCAAUUUAGACAUGCUGGGGAGGCACUGGGAGGUUUGAAGGCCUUGAUGGUGUUCAGAGAGAACAUUGAAUUCAACCAGAGACAGUGCUGUUUGUUGCUGGACGUCUUCACAUUUGCGUAUGAUUUGAUUGCUGAGGAGAUUACGCAGAACCUGAUAUUCACAGAGAAGCACACAAAGUGGAAAGUUCUUGAACAGCCAUUGAAAGAGAUUCACAAGAUAUUCAAAGAAGGAGAAGCUUACAUCAAGCAAUGCUUGGAAAGUGAAACAAAGGACUGGUGGGCGAAAGCCAUUACACUUUACAGGAACAAAAAUUGUGUUGAGUUCAACCUCUACAAUUUGCUCUCAUGCAUGCCCAUCGUCAUUGAAGCAAUUGAAUCUGCGGGAGAUGUAGCAGGGUGGGAUCAGGAAGAGAUGGAAAGGAAGAGGCUCAUCAACUCUAACAAGUACAGGAAAGAAUACAGAGAUAUGAGCCUUUUCCAGUGGAAAUUUGGGAAGCAGUAUCUCGUUACUCAGGAUUUCUGCAACCGUUAUGACACAGUUUGGAAGGAAGAUAGAUGGUUUCUUCUCAACAAAAUACGUGAAAAGAAAUUAGCAAUCUCAACAAAGUUUGAGAAUCAAUUAACAGAUGUUCUUUUGAAGCAAUUAGAAAAAUCAGGUUCAUUGGAUGUGGAGCUACUUCCUAGUUCAAUUUUGGUGGGGUCCAAGGACUACCAGGUGAGGAGAAGACUAGGGAAUGGGAGCAUGUACAAAGAGAUUAUUUGGUUAGGUGAAAGCUUUGUUGUAAAGCAUUUUUUUGGAGACAUAGAAGCAAUGGAGCCAGAUAUCAUUUCUCUUCUAUCUCUUUCACACCCAAAUAUAAUUGAAUGCCUUUGUGGAUUUUGUGAUGAGGAGAAGAAAGAGUGUUUUCUUCUAAUGGAACUGAUGAGCAGAAAUCUUUGCGCACACAUUGAAGAAGUUUAUGGCCCAAAAAAGCGAGUCCCAUUUGCACUUCCUGUAGCAGUUGAUCUUAUGCUUCAAAUUGCCAGGGGAAUGGAAUACCUGCACUCAAAGAAAAUAUAUCAUGGAGAGCUAAAUCCUUCAAACAUUCUGGUUAAACCCAGACGUACAUUCACAGAAGGCUACAUGCAUGCCAAGGUUUCAGGGUUUGGCCAAAUUGGCUUUAAGAACUUGAAACAAAAAGGGACCUCAAAUCUGAAUGAAACCGUACCAUUUAUCUGGUAUUCUCCUGAAGUUCUCGAAGAGCAAGAACAGACAGGAGAUACUGUAAACUCCAAGUAUACAGAGAAAUCUGAUGUGUACAGUUUUGGAAUGGUUUGCUUUGAGCUUCUGACCGGAAAAGUCCCUUUUGAGGAUAGCCAUCUUCAAGGGGACAAAAUGAGUCGAAACAUUAGGGCAGGAGAGAGACCCCUUUUCACAUACAGUUGUCCAAAAUAUGUUACUAACUUGACUAAGAAAUGUUGGAAUGCUGAUCCAAAUCAAAGGCCAAGCUUCUCCUCCAUUUGUAGAAUUCUUCGGUAUAUAAAACGGUUUCUUGCAAUGAAUCCUGAUUACAAUUGCUCACUAGACCCACCAGUGCCACCAGUAGAUUACUGCGAUAUAGAGUCAACAAUCUUGAGAAAGUUCCCUUCUUGGGGAAGUUCGAAUGCAUCGCCAAUAUAUCAAAUUCCAUUUCAAAUGUUUGCCUAUCGAGUCAUAGAAAAAGAAAAAAUAAGUUUAAGCUCCAAUUAUAAUUCCGAAUCAGGAAGCGAGGCUUCAGCAUGUGGUGAUGAACUUGCUACCUCUGGGGAGGAACUAUAUCCAUCAAGAACCGAUAGGAAGCAUUUAGUUGGGCCUGACGAUGUGACUAUGAACAGAAGAUAUUUGUUAUCAAGGAGAUCCUUUGAUGAAAGAACCAGCAGACAACCAGGUACACCAAAGGCACGAUCUGUUUCUGCUAGACCUCCACAGAUGACUUUAUCUGGGCGAAGCAUGAGGACUAAAUCAGAGACUCCAUUGAUGACGCCAAGUUCAAGAAUCAGAAGGACAAACUCUGGUCAUGUCUCAGAUUCUGAGCUUUCUUUAUCACGGCGCACCACAAACAGACUCUCUAGAUAAAAUCCAGACACCAUGCAGAUAAUCAUAACUCCACUCAAUCAUGAAGAAUGAUUUUCAUUAUAGAACAACGCGGUCUAAGAAGCAUCAGUGUGCGGGAGCGGGGAGCAACAAUGUAAGGUAACAAGUGUGACUUGCAGUUUCAAGCAGGCAUUUAGCCUGGUCUGUUGUCCCUUCCUUUUGAUCUGUGAUUCAACAAAAACCCUUC